CUGCAGUGAGAGAGCUGGACGAACAUCACAGCGCUCGCAGCAUUCCGUGUACUGGAUGCUGGCUCCAACGCGAGCGAGAAUGAGGACCCCCAAAAAAAAUCUUCAGCACGAACGAGUUCUGAAUCCUACUCUCAAGGCAGGGGCGCCAUUCGCGGCUGCCAACGAGGACGAUAUGGAUACGAACAGUACAAGGAAAGGAGGAAUCGAGGCGUUUUCCUACAACACGGCGGUGGGUUCACCGGGCAAAUCUGUGUGGGCGAAAAAAGAGAUGGGGGCGGGAACGGAAUGGGGUCCAGAAGUUACCAAAAAGGCGGGGCGAGCUCCUCGCGUCUCUCCUUCCUUCCUUCCUUCGUGUAAAGAAUCCGGAAAGAAGAAGCGCGACGGGAAGGAAGAUCUCCCCCACAUUGCCCCCACCCCUGAAGAAGAAAGAGCAGCGCUGCAGCGGCGAUAACCAAAUCCACGGCCGGAUUUCUGCAGCGAAACGAAGGGGGGCCAAUGCGGAGACUGGCGGCGGCCCCCUGGUUGGUCAAUGGGCACGAGGAGCACGAGAACGAGAACGGCUAACAAUAGCGGGAACACGCGCACGCAAAGGGACGGGGGCAAUGGCAGGCAAUCUUUCUUUCUGCGCCCGACUGCCCGAGAUAAACGCAAUGGCAGGAACGGAAAGAAUGCCAGCUCUUUCCCAGCCUAGCCUAGGGGAAUGCAGGACGGGGAUCGCCGUUGCCUGAAUGAGAAUGACUCCACACAAAUCGAAGAGGAAACGGACUUUACCAUGGAGGGCGGGGAGGAUCUUGG
rnacentral:misc_RNA from 1 species